CUCCAGUCUCCCCCACCCUCUUUCUUACUCUCCCCUCCCUCUCUCCUCUCCUUCUCUCCCCCUCCCUCUCUCUUCUCCCUCUCCCUCCAAGUCUGGCACUGAAGCGAACUGUUUUGCUUUGCUCCGGGAAGAGUGCAGACACAGAACGUGAAAUCCCGAGCUUCUUUUUUUUUUUUUUUUUUUUUUUUGCGUGGUGCAUUUAAAACGCUUCCUUAUUUAUAUUACCCUCAUUCCCUCACCUCUCCCACCCCCUCACCAGCCUUUCCAAAUUUCCCUAGAAAUCUCUAUAAAGCAUGCAGAGGGGAAAACAUUUGCACAAAAAGUGAAGGAGCUCGCCAAGGUAGUCAAAACUGCCCUGACACCUGGACGUCUGCAUGAGGGAUGGUCACAGAAGGAGGAAGUCUCAGAGGCCAUAGGAGCUAAAGAGUCUAUGCAGAUGAGCUCUGGAGUCCCAGACUUAUGAAAUCCUCCAGUUCAUAGCUAUUUCCCGCUCCAACUUGCCCUUCAGGGAGCUUGUCCAGAAAAAAACCUGUUUCAGGAGUCUCCUGCUGAAGAAAGAAUCUAAAGAGAUGCCUAAGUUCCAGGGGAUUUUCCUCUAAGACUAAUAACAUCAAGAUAGCUUUGAUUUUAUUUAUUUAUAUUCAUUCUUUUUUUCCACAAGAGAAAUAUAUAUCAUCUUCAGAGAUCUUGGGUUAGAAUUUUUUAUUUCACUGUUGCUGGUUGAAGAUGAAUCUCAAACCCUGAUGCUGUAUUUUUGUUCAUUUCAUGAAGAAUUUCAGAUGGUGCUUGACAACUGAUACCUCCUAUAAAACCAACAAAUACUGUCAUACCCUGUGUCUAUUAAAGAUAUCUCCCAAGUGUCAUUUCACCAAGUAAAGAAUUUGAACCACCUCACACUGUACAUUUUUGGUUAAAUAUUUGAGAGCUAUUAUUUUGAAAGUCACCCAUAGUAAUUAAUAGCCAAGUCAAAAAACUUAAAAUUUGGGGUCUGUUUCUACAUUUAUACUCCAUCUUCUCCCUCUUUAAGUUCUCCUGGAAACAAAACAGAGUAUCCCUCUUCCAGCAAACCACUUUCAAAAUUCCAUGUAAGAAAAUACCAAACUUGAAAUUAUGAAACAUCACCAUCAGUUUCUGAGGAUGCCGGAACUAGAACUCAACCAGAAACUUUAUAAUUUAGGACUUGAGAGCCUAGAACAUUAACGUCUGAAUUGGAAUGGUAUUGGCUCCAAGGUUAAAAAUAGAGGACCACGUUUUUAUUGCCUGUGGUUAUGACAUACUCCCCAUGAAUACCAGUAGGGCUCAAACGUGUACCGAAGGCAGCUGAAGGGUAAAUAAAUUAACUGAAAUGACUCAGAAAGCACCGAGGGGGCCGAAGUGUGUAGUUGUAAUAAGGGACUUUGUUCUUGAGAACAACUCUAACUCAGAACUCAAGGAACAGAGCCUCAAAGAAUUAUAGCACUUAAAUGAGUUUCAUUUAUAAGCUUUCUCCACAGACAUGGAAAAGAAUACACGUAUGAUGACUUAAAGGGACCAUUAUUAUGUUUGGAAGUUCUGGGCACUUACCAGACAUUCAAUCCAAUGCACUUUUCCUUUUAACCCAGCAGAAUACCUGAGUCAUGUGUACUAAGAAUGUUUCAGAAAAAUAGGGACUUCCUUGGCUGCCCAGUGGUUAGGACUUCAUUCUUCCACUGCAGGGGGCGCUGGUCCCAUCCCUGGUGAAGGUACUAAGAUCCCACAUGCUGUGAGUGGCAAAAAAAUAAAAAAUAAAAUUUUAACAAUAGAUAAAAUAAAAAGACUAAAAUACAUUGAUGUAAAGACCUUGAGAUUUUCUUCAAUCCCUCUUGCCAGCUUACUGCUUGUAACAGCUUCCUGCUAAGGCAAUGAGCUACUACUGAAGCUUAUCUUUGUAGAAUAUUUUUUUCUCAGUGAUUUUUCUGCACUUAACCUGGCUGCAUUUUUCUGUGCCAGGACAAGACCUGGUUGUCCAUUGUCUUUCAUGAAGGCAUCUGUGGAAGGUUUUGAAGUCCACUGGUUAAGAGGAAAAAGUGCUCUCGUGUUUGAUCAGUGCGUAGGCAAAGGACGGUUGGAAACAAUGCUGAAUCACACUCAAAACAGCUGCAUUUGCAAACAAAGUGAGAGGCCUCCACUGUGGGCUUUGAAGUCCCAAACCUGGGUUCUGGCAUUGGCUGCAAUCAAGGGCACACCUCUCAGUGACUCUCAGCUUCACUUACCUUUUGGUUAAAUACCAACAUUUAUCGAGCACUUACUAUAUACUAAGCACUUUUAGUCAUUUAAACCUCACAACAAUCCUGUGGAGUAAGCAUUAUUUUCACCCCCAUUUUACAGAUAAGUAAACUGAGGCUCAGAAAGUCUAUGAAACUUGUUCAGAGUUACACAGCUUAGAAGACUAAGAAGACCAACAUUCAAA
ensembl:lncRNA